rnacentral:rRNA from 1 species
GAUGAACGCUAGCGGGAGGCUUAACACAUGCAAGUCGAGGGGCAGCACGUCUUCGGAUGGUGGCGACCGGCGCACGGGUGCGUAACGCGUAUGCAACCUGCCUUAUACAGGGGGAUAGCCCAUGGAAACGUGGAUUAACAUCCCAUAGUACUAUUUUUUCGCAUGAAUAGAUAGUUAAAACUUCGGUGGUAUAAGAUGGGCAUGCGUAGGAUUAGGUAGUUGGUGAGGUAACAGCUCACCAAGCCGACGAUCCUUAGGGGUUCUGAGAGGAUUAUCCCCCACACUGGUACUGAGACACGGACCAGACUCCUACGGGAGGCAGCAGUGAGGAAUAUUGGUCAAUGGACGCAAGUCUGAACCAGCCAUCCCGCGUGCAGGAUGACGGCCCUAUGGGUUGUAAACUGCUUUUAUUUGCCAAGAAUGGUUACUACGUGUAGUGAUUUGACGGUAGCAAAUGAAUAAGGACCGGCUAACUCCGUGCCAGCAGCCGCGGUAAUACGGAGGGUCCAAGCGUUAUCCGGAUUCAUUGGGUUUAAAGGGUGCGCAGGGCGGGCUUGUAAGUCAGUGGUGAAAUUCUGCAGCUUAACUGUAGAACUGCCAUUGAUACUGCAAGUCUUGAAUAUGGUUGAGGUAGGCGGAAUGUGUUGUGUAGCGGUGAAAUGCAUAGAUAUGACACAGAACGCCAAUUGCGAAGGCAGCUUACUAAGCCAUGA